rnacentral:rRNA from 1 species
CCUACGGGAGGCAGCAGUGGGGAAUAUUGCACAAUGGGGGAAACCCUGAUGCAGCGACGCCGCGUGAGUGAAGAAGUAUUUCGGUACGUAAAGCUCUAUCAGCAGGGAAGAAAGAAAGUCCUUUGGACUUUGGACGGUACCUGACCAAGAAGCCCCGGCUAACUACGUGCCAGCAGCCGCGGUAAUACGUAGGGGGCAAGCGUUAUCCGGAUUUACUGGGUGUAAAGGGAGCGUAGACGGCAGCGCAAGUCUGGAGUGAAAUGCCGGGGCCCAACCCCGGAACUGCUUUGGAAACUGUGCAGCUCGAGUGCAGGAGAGGUAAGCGGAAUUCCUAGUGUAGCGGUGAAAUGCGUAGAUAUUAGGAGGAACACCAGUGGCGAAGGCGGCUUACUGGACUGUAACUGACGUUGAGGCUCGAAAGCGUGGGGAGCA